CCCGCGGUAGCUCAAUUUGGAAGAGCGGCCGGCUGUAGACCGGCUGGUUGCUGGUUCAAAUCCGGCCCGCGGGACCA
rnacentral:tRNA from 1 species